rnacentral:rRNA from 1 species
GACGAACGCUGGCGGCGUGCUUAACACAUGCAAGUCGAACGAUGAAGCUCUAGCUUGCUGGGGUGGAUUAGUGGCGAACGGGUGAGUAACACGUGAGUAACCUGCCCUUUACUUCGGGAUAAGCUUGGGAAACUGGGUCUAAUACCGGAUAUUCUGCGUGAUCGGAUGGUUGUGUAGGAAAGAUUUUUUGGUAAGGGAUGGGCUCGCGGCCUAUCAGUUUGUUGGUGGGGUGAUGGCCUACCAAGACGACGACGGGUAGCCGGCCUGAGAGGGCGACCGGCCACACUGGGACUGAGACACGGCCCAGACUCCUACGGGAGGCAACCAGUGGGGAAUAUUGCACAAUGGGGGAAACCCUGAUGCAGCGACGCCGCGUGGGGGAUGACGGCCUUCGGGUUGUAAACCUCUUUCAGUAGGGAAGAAGCGAAAGUGACGGUACCUGCAGAAGAAGUACCGGCUAACUACGUGCCAGCAGCCGCGGUAAUACGUAGGGUACUAGCGUUGUCCGGAAUUAUUGGGCGUAAAGAGCUCGUAGGUGGUUUGUCGCGUCUGCUGUGGAAACGUGCCGCUUAACGGUGCGCGUGCAGUGGGUACGGGCGGACUAGAGUGCAGUAGGGGAGUCUGGAAUUCCUGGUGUAGCGGUGAAAUGCGCAGAUAUCAGGAGGAACACCGGUGGCGAAGGCGGGACUCUGGGCUGUUACUGACGCUGAGGAGCGAAAGCAUGGGGAGCGAACAGGAUUAGAUACCCUGGUAGUCCAUGCCGUAAACGUUGGGCACUAGGUGUGGGGUCCAUUCCACGGAUUCUGCGCCGUAGCUAACGCAUUAAGUGCCCCGCCUGGGGAGUACGGCCGCAAGGCUAAAACUCAAAGGAAUUGACGGGGGCCCGCACAAGCGGCGGAGCAUGCGGAUUAAUUCGAUGCAACGCGAAGAACCUUACCAAGGCUUGACAUGCACUAGACCAUCGCAGAGAUGUGGUUUUCUUUUUGACUGGUGUACAGGUGGUGCAUGGUUGUCGUCAGCUCGUGUCGUGAGAUGUUGGGUUAAGUCCCGCAACGAGCGCAACCCUCGUUCUAUGUUGCCAGCACGUGAUGGUGGGAACUCAUGGGAGACUGCCGGGGUCAACUCGGAGGAAGGUGGGGAUGACGUCAAAUCAUCAUGCCCUUUAUGUCUUGGGCUUCACGCAUGCUACAAUGGCCGGUACAGAGGGUGGCGAUACCGUGAGGUGGAGCGAAUCUCUUAAAGCCGGUCUCAGUUCGGAUCGUAGUCUGCAACUCGACUACGUGAAGUCGGAGUCGCUAGUAAUCGCAGAUCAGCAAUGCUGCGGUGAAUACGUUCCCGGGCCU